GUGCAAGUGAUGUAAACGUUGUUAUUCACUGACUGCAGUGAUGUUUCCAAAGGAACCACUGAUGCAC